AUGACUGGGAUCUCCACCAUUGAGGCAGUGAAGCGCAAGAUCCAGGUUCUGCAGCAGCAGGCAGAUGAUGCAGAGGAGCGAGCCGAGCGCCUCCAGCGAGAAGCUAAGGGAGAAAUGUGGGCCCAGGAACAGGCUGAGGCUGAGGUGGCCUCCUUGAAUGGUAGGAUCCAGCUUGUUGAAGAGGAGCUGGACUGUGCUGAGGAGCGCCUGGCCACAGCACUGCAAAAGCUGGAAGAAGUGGAAAAAACUGCUGAGGAGAGUGAGAGAGGUAUAAAGGUUAUUGAAAACUGGACUUUACAAAUUGAAGAAAAGAUGGAACUCCAGGAAAUCCAACUCAAAGAAGCUAAGCACAUUGCAGAAGAGGCAGAUAGGAAGUAUGAAGAGGUGACUCGUAAGUUGGUGAUCAUUGAAGGAGACAUGGAAGGCACAGAAGAACGAGCUGAGCUGGCAGAGUCCCGUUGCUGGGAGAUGGAUGAGCAGAUCAGACUGACACACCAGAACCUGAAGUGUCUUGAGUGCAGCUGAAGAAAAGUACUCUCAAAAAGAAGACAAAUGUGAGGAAGAGGUGAAGAUUCUUACUGAUAAUCUCAAGGAGGCAGAGACCCGUGCUGAGCUUGCUAAGAGAUCAGUAGCCAAACUCAAAAAGACAAUUGAUGACUUGGAAGAUAAAGUGAAAUGCACCAAAGAGGAACACCUCUGUACACAAAGGAUGCGGGACCAGACUCUGCUAGACCUGAAUGAGAUGUAGAAUGCCCCAGUCCCCCCUGCUGCUGCUCCUUCCUCUGACCCUGACUCUGCCUGAGGCCAGCCUGCCCGAAGCUGACCUUUACCUGAGGGCUGAUCUUUGACUGGAAGGCUACUUUCUCUUUGCACCGCCCCCUCCUCCCCUGCCUCUUUUUCACCAAACUUUCUCUGCCUUUUCCCGGAGAUUCUAGCUAGGCUAGAGGCUGAGCACCUUUGGAAACAACAUUUAAGGGAAUAUGAGCAUAAUGCAUAAUGUCUGUAAAAAGCAUGUUGUGAUUAAAAAAAAAUACAUAAUCACUUCUGAAAGAUGCCUUUGUCACAUCCUAUAAUCAGCUGACAUCAUUUUUUUUCUGUACAUUCUCCAGUUAUUUUCCUGUUGACCCCAGAAUUUGUUAGAUUUUUUAAAAAACAAUUUCAAAAUAGUUUCUGUUUGAAACUAGUUGCGUCCGGUUGAGAUCGAGGUCUGUAUGCUUUCCGGUCUUUAUUAUUUAUUGGAAACCUUUGGUACCUAAUACAGAAGGUUGAUUGUGUCAGUGUGUACCUGGUAAAGAUGUCAGUGACCUUUUACCUUAACAUCAAAAUGUAGUUUAA